UUACAUACCUGGACGGGGUCAAUGGGUGAUCAAGAAGGCCCAUGGCCUAGGGAGGUGGCCUCCAUUGCACAUAAAGGAGGUGCACCACCCUAACAUCUCCCUCUGUGGAGACUGUACGUCAUAAUUUCUGGUAGUGGGGGCUGCGUACGCGCAACCCCUC